rnacentral:rRNA from 1 species
UACGUAUGGAGCAAGCGUUAUCCGGAUUUACUGGGUGUAAAGGGAGCGUAGACGGUUUGCCAAGUCUGAUGUGAAAGGUGUGGGCUCAACCCGCAAACUGCAUUGGGAACUGAUAGACUAGAGUGUCGGAGAGGUAAGUGGAAUUCCUAGUGUAGCGGUGAAAUGCGUAGAUAUUAGGAGGAACACCAGCGGCGAAGGCGGCUUACUGGACGAUAACUGACGUUGAGGCUCAAAAGCGUGGGGAGUAAAC